CACAUUUUGGGCUCCCACUUUCAACUAUUGAGGAGCUACAAUGUUUGUAGGAGACAUUAAAUAAUCCAGAUGAGAAGAAGAAUUUGACUGUUUUUCCUGGAAUGGUCGGAGACAAGACUCUUAAAGACACCGUGGGGUGGGUCCUGAAAAAAACAAUGAACUCUUCGUGGCGAGACUCAUCAAUUGAAGUGGGGUCAACUGAAAGCCUGCAUUCAAAGGGCUCACUUUGAAAAGUGUGGUUUUGGAUGCAGUCCGCCGGAAUGCCCUGACCAAAGAUAACACAGAAAAGGAGAUAGAGCUCCUCAUCACCAGGUGGUCGGUGCUAGCAUAUGACAGGGAUGGUGGCCGAAUCCAGACAAUAGACAGACAAUGAAUUAAAAUGUUUUAAAUUUAAAAAUGUUGAUUUUUGGAAAAUUCGUAUUUGAACUGAUUGUGUGUGUGUGUGCACCUGGUAAUUAUCACGUUGUGUCCCCACAAAGAUAGGAAUACCUGUGUUUUUGUGACCUUGUGUCCCCAUGAGGAAACAAGCUUAUAAAUCAAACAAAAUGAUGUUUCUUGUAAAUGUGAAGUAGGAGAAGGGUUUCUGUGAUGGUUGGGUUUAGGGAAUGGGGUAGGUAAGGGGAAUAAAAUAUACAGUUUGUAUGGUAUAAAAUGCAUUACGUCUAUGGAAUGUCCCCACAAAACAUGGAAACCUGUUUGUGUGUACGAGAGAGAGAGAAUGUGUGUUCAAGUGAAUAAAAAAUGCAUUAAACGUGAAA